rnacentral:miRNA from 1 species
UCAACGGAGUUGGGAGACAAA